rnacentral:rRNA from 1 species
UACGUAGGGUGCAAGCGUUAAUCGGAAUUACUGGGCGUAAAGCGUGCGCAGGCGGUGAUGUAAGACAGAUGUGAAAUCCCCGGGCUUAACCUGGGAACUGCAUUUGUGACUGCAACGCUUGAGUGCGGCAGAGGGGGAUGGAAUUCCGCGUGUAGCAGUGAAAUGCGUAGAUAUGCGGAGGAACACCGAUGGCGAAGGCAAGCCCCUGGGCCGGCACUGACGCUCAUGCACGAAAGCGUGGGGAGCAAACAGG